GUGUUUGCUUCAGCAGCACAUGUACUAAAAUUGGAACAAUACAGAAAAGAUUAGCAUGGCCCCUGCACAAGGAUGACAUAAAUUUGUGAAGUCUUCCAUAUUUUU